rnacentral:rRNA from 1 species
UACGUAGGAUGCAAGCGUUGUCCGGAUUUACUGGGCGUAAAGCGCGCGCAGGCGGCAAGGUAAGUAAGGUGUGAAAUCUGUCGGCUCAACCGGGAGGGUGCACUUUAGACUGCUUUGCUUGAGGUCGGUAGAGGGGGGUGGAAUUGCUGGUGUAGCGGUGAAAUGCGUAGAGCUCGGGAAGAACAUCGGUGGCGAAAGCGCUCUGCUGGACUGCAACUGACACUCAGGGACGAAAGCUAGGGGAGCGAAUGGG